AAGCGGAGGAAAAGAAACCAACAGGGAUUGCCUCAGUAACGGCGAGUGAAGCGGCAAAAGCUCAAAUUUGAAAUCUGGCACUUUCAGUGUCCGAGUUGUAAUUUGAAGAUGGAUUUCUGGAGUUGGCCCCUGUCUAUGUUCCUUGGAACAGGACGUCACAGAGGGUGAGAAUCCCGUCUGGCGGGGUGGUCCAGCUCCAUGUAGAUUUCCUUCGAAGAGUCGAGUUGUUUGGGAAUGCAGCUCUAAGUGGGAGGUAAAUUCCUUCUAAAGCUAAAUAUUGGCGAGAGACCGAUAGCGAACAAGUACAGUGAUGGAAAGAUGAAAAGAACUUUGAAAAGAGAGUGAAAAAGUACGUGAAAUUGUUGAAAGGGAAGGGUAUUAGAUCAGACUUGGUGUUUUGUGAUUAUCAUUCCCUCGUGGGAUGUGCACUCGCAUUGCGCUGGGCCAGCAUCGGUUCGAGUGGCAAGAUAAUGACUUGGGAACGUGGCUCUGCUUCGGGAGAGUGUUAUAGCCCACAGUUGAUGUUGCCUACUUGGACCGAGGACUGCGGCUUUAUUGCCUAGGAUGCUGGCGUAAUGAUCUAAUACCGCCCGUCUUGA
rnacentral:rRNA from 1 species